AGUGAACGCUGGCGGUAGGCCUAACACAUGCAAGUCGAACGGCAGCACAGUAAGAGCUUGCUCUUACGGGUGGCGAGUGGCGGACGGGUGAGGAAUACAUCGGAAUCUACUUUUUCGUGGGGGAUAACGUAGGGAUACUUACGCUAAUACCGCAUACGACCUACGGGUGAAAGCAGGGGAUCUUCGGACCUUGCGCGAUUGAAUGAGCCGAUGUCGGAUUAGCUAGUUGGCGGGGUAAAGGCCCACCAAGGCGACGAUCCGUAGCUGGUCUGAGAGGAUGAUCAGCCACACUGGAACUGAGACACGGUCCAGACUCCUACGGGAGGCAGCAGUGGGGAAUAUUGGACAAUGGGCGCAAGCCUGAUCCAGCCAUACCGCGUGGGUGAAGAAGGCCUUCGGGUUGUAAAGCCCUUUUGUUGGGAAAGAAAAGCAGCAGGUUAAUACCCCGCUGUUCUGACGGUACCCAAAGAAUAAGCGCCGGCUAACUUCGUG
rnacentral:rRNA from 1 species